rnacentral:pre_miRNA from 1 species
AAAAAAACAAACUCUGGGUUUCCGUGUCCAACUUUGACUGUUCGUCUUAUAUGUAAUUUUUUUAUAAUUUAUAUUUUCAUUAUUGUUAGAUGAUAAAAUAUGAUUAAUAUUUUAUGCGUGACUUGUCUUUUUAAUUUUUUUUCAUAAUUUUUUUAAAUAAGACGAAUGGUCAAACGUUGAACACGAAAACU